rnacentral:rRNA from 1 species
AGAGUUUGAUCAUGGCUCAGAUUGAACGCUGGCGGCAGGCCUAACACAUGCAAGUCGAGCGGAAGAAGGGGGCUUGCUCCCGGAUUCAGCGGCGGACGGGUGAGUAACGCGUAGGAAUCUACCUAAUAGUGGGGGAUAACGUUUCGAAAGGAACGCUAAUACCGCAUACGUUCUGAGGAAGAAAGCAGGGGAUCGCAAGACCUUGCGCUAUUAGAUGAGCCUGCGUCCGAUUAGCUAGUUGGUGGGGUAAAGGCCUACCAAGGCGACGAUCGGUAACUGGUCUGAGAGGAUGAUCAGUCACACUGGAACUGAGACACGGUCCAGACUCCUACGGGAGGCAGCAGUGGGGAAUAUUGGACAAUGGGCGCAAGCCUGAUCCAGCCAUGCCGCGUGUGUGAAGAAGGCCUUCGGGUUGUAAAGCACUUUAAGCGGGGAGGAAGGCUCUAUGGCUAAUAUCCAUGGGGAUUGACGUUACCCGCAGAAUAAGCACCGGCAAACUUCGUGCCAGCAGCCGCGGUAAUACGAAGGGUGCGAGCGUUAAUCGGAAUUACUGGGCGUAAAGCGCGCGUAGGUGGUUUGGUAAGCGAUAUGUGAAAUCCCCGGGCUUAACCUGGGAACUGCAUGUCGAACUGCCAGGCUAGAGUAUGGUAGAGGGGUGUGGAAUUUCCUGUGUAGCGGUGAAAUGCGUAGAUAUAGGAAGGAACAUCAGUGGCGAAGGCGACACCCUGGACCGAUACUGACACUGAGGCGCGAAAGCGUGGGUAGCGAACAGGAUUAGAUACCCUGGUAGUCCACGCCGUAAACG